rnacentral:rRNA from 1 species
UACGAGUGCCUCGAGCGUUAUCCGGAAUCAUUGGGCGUAAAGGGUGUGUAGGGUACGGUUUGGUUAGUCUCAUGUAAAAUUCUUCGGCUCAACCGGGGGCUCGCAUGAGAAACGGCCAGACUUAGAGGAUGGUAGGGGUCUUCGGAACUCAUAGUGUAGCGGUGAAAAUGCGUUGAUAUUAUGGGGAACACCAAAAGCGAAGGCAGAAGACUGGACCACUCCUGAACGCGUGAAACACGGAAAGCGUGGGUCGCGAAUGGGA